rnacentral:rRNA from 1 species
GAUGAACGCUGGCGGCGUGCCUAAUACAUGCAAGUCGAGCGAACAGACGAGGAGCUUGCUCCUCUGACGUUAGCGGCGGACGGGUGAGUAACACGUGGAUAACCUACCUAUAAGACUGGGAUAACUUCGGGAAACCGGAGCUAAUACCGGAUAAUAUAUUGAACCGCAUGGUUCAAUAGUGAAAGACGGUUUUGCUGUCACUUAUAUAUGGAUCCGCGCCGCAUUAGCUAGUUGGUAAGGUAACGGCUUACCAAGGCAACGAUGCGUAGCCGACCUGAGAGGGUGAUCGGCCACACUGGAACUGAGACACGGUCCAGACUCCUACGGGAGGCAGCAGUAGGGAAUCUUCCGAAAAGGGAGAAAGCCUGACGGAGCAACGCCGCGUGAGUGAUGAAGGUCUUCGGAUCGUAAAACUCUGUUAUUAGGGAAGAACAAAUGUGUAAGUAACUAUGCACGUCUUGACGGUACCUAAUCAGAAAGCCACGGCUAACUACGUG